GCAAAAGAAAUAUUGCGCAGAAGCCAAGUAAUAGUAGCUUCUCAAGGCAAACAAACCAAAGAUGCUCUAACUACAAUGAUACGGCAAUGCCUUACAUCUCAAGGUCGAUUCAAUUAAAGCUUUAAUAAAGCAAAACAAAAAGAUAAAUCCAUAACUAGUAAAUAGUAUAAUGCUUAUAUGAUUAAAAACAAUGCAUAGGAUUGCACGCACAAUAAAUAUGUUUCACAAAUUGAACAACGUAAACAUCAAUAUAAGAUAAUUUUGCAACUUGAUAUAUGAAAUAGAGAAUUUUUAUUCACCUAGUAGUCAAAUAGACACAUGCACAAAAAUGUGUUUUGAGAAGAUAAAAGGAUAGAGUUACAUUUACAAAAUAACCCAAAUGAGAUUUUUUUUUCUUUUUUUUU
rnacentral:misc_RNA from 1 species